UACGUAGGCAGCAAGCGUUGUUCGGAGUUACUGGGCGUAAAGGGCUCGUAGGCGGUUCGUCACGUCGGGAGUGAAAACUCGGGGCUUAACCCCGAGCCUGCUUCCGAUACGGGCAGACUAGAGGUAGGCAGGGGAGAGCGGAACUCCUGGUGUAGCGGUGGAAUGCGCAGAUAUCAGGAAGAACACCGGUGGCGAAGGCGGCUCUCUGGGCCUUACCUGACGCUGAGGAGCGAAAGCGUGGGUAGCGAACAGG
rnacentral:rRNA from 1 species